rnacentral:rRNA from 1 species
CGAUAGUGAACCAGUACCGUGAGGGAAAGGCGAAAAGAACCCCGGCGAGGGGAGUGAAAAAGAACCUGAAACCGUGUACGUACAAGCAGUGGGAGCACAGGUUUACCUGUGUGACUGCGUACCUUUUGUAUAAUGGGUCAGCGACUUAUAUUCUGUAGCAAGGUUAACCGAAUAGGGGAGCCGGAGGGAAACCGAGUCUUAAUUGGGCGUUAAGUUGCAGGGUAUAGACCCGAAACCCGGUGAUCUAGCCAUGGGCAGGUUGAAGGUUGGGUAACACUAACUGGAGGACCGAACCGACUAAUGUUGAAAAAUUAGCGGAUGACCUGUGGCUGGGGGUGAAAGGCCAAUCAAACCGGGAGAUAGCUGGUUCUCCCCGAAAGCUAUUUAGGUAGCGCCUCGUGAAUUCAUCUCCGGGGGUAGAGCACUGUUUCGGCUAGGGGGCCAUCCCGGCUUACCAACCCGAUGCAAACUGCGAAUACCGGAGAAUGUUAUCACGGGAGACACACGGCGGGUGCUAACGUCCGUCGUGAAGAGGGAAACAACCCAGACCGCCAGCUAAGGUCCCAAAGUCAUGGUUAAGUGGGAAACGAUGUGGGAAGGCCCAGACAGCCAGGAUGUUGGCUUAGAAGCAGCCAUCAUUUAAAGAAAGCGUAAUAGCUCACUGGUCGAGUCGGCCUGCGCGGAAGAUGUAACGGGGCUAAACCAUG